rnacentral:rRNA from 1 species
UGGGUGUAAAAACAGCUAGGCUGCUAGGUAAUGCUGGCUUUAAAAAAACUUCUGGACGGUUUUUGUGCAGUUUCACCUAUGCUUUUAGAGUUUGUAAAACGUUGUGGAGAUUGGUAAUGGAGUGGUGAAAUACUUAGAUAUUACUAGAAUCGUGCGAAAUAUGGCAAAGCACACAACGGUUGUAGACUGACGCUGAACUGUGUAAAGUACAAGUAUCAAAGAGGAUUUGAGACCCUCGUAGUUUGUACCCUGAAUAAUGGAUAUAUUAUCUUUGAAGUUAGUUAACGCUUUAAUAUCCUGCCUGAAGAGUAUUGUCGCAAGGGUUAAAUUUAAAGAGAUUGGCGGGAGUUUAGAUAAACGGUGGAACAUGUGGUUUAAUUCGAUAAUCCGCGAGAAACCUUACCAGUGUACAGAUUAGCUUAAGGUAUCCCACCUAAGUGGGUUUUUCGAGUAGAACUAUCGUUAAGUUUCUAUAAGGUGCUGCAUGGCUGUCGUCAGUUUGUUAUGUAGGUUUAUAUCGGACACAAU